UGCCACUUUGCUGCGCAACCUGGGCACCAAUCCAACAUCCACUGUCAAGCUCAGCCUUUGCAAUCUGUACCUCACCUGCUCCAUGUCUACCCCACUGGCCAACUCAUCGUGCAGCCAAAUGCAGUGACCUCAGGUCCGAUGCCAUGAUGGAUUUUCCACUGCUCCCCCCAUUUUGGACCUCCUGCUUCGCCACUGCUUGUGACCCUCCCGUGAUUUGCCAGGGUCUGGAGGCAUGGUGAGAUCUGAGGUGGGUCGUAGUGGGAAACUGAAGGGCAUUUCAAGGCUCUGGGCUGUCCGGGAGUGGAAAGAAGGCAAGAAAGGAAAUUAAGACCAUUCACCUCUGUUAAUGAACUGACACUCGUGAAGGCACUCCAGUCCUCUGGGCACCUCGAACUUAAAGGUCCUUUCCUCCACUCUUCUAAAGGCUCUACGCUCAGGAGCCCAUUCAGGCCUCUCGGACAUUUUGCAACUUAAAAAAAAAAAGUUGGCACCAGUUCCCAUACUCCAUUUUAUCCAUGAACCUCACUCACAAAUCUUCCAGAGGCCCACAACUGGAUUGCAGAGAUGAGAUGAUGGAGAACGAGGAACCGGCUGUGAACAUGCUGCUUCCCAGGCACUCCUGGCAUGAUCACUCUGUGCCUGUGGACAGUGUUUCUAGGCAGUAAUAAAACGGUGUGGUACGUAAAGCUGGAAGCACCGAGUCCUGCACAGUCAUAUCUACUCAACAGCAAAGCUCCUAUUUGCUCCGAGGAGAAUUCUGCCUACGUAAGGACUUAAGAGCCAGGGCUAGGAGCAAAGAAAAGAGCAUUCAUAAUUUUCUUCUUAGCUGGUUUAGAGAAAGCCAACUGCUUUCUACAGCCUUGCCAAAACUAAGAGGAGAUGGUCUGAGGUUAAGAAACAUGCGGGAUGAUUUUCAUACCAAAUGUGAAAAAUGAGAAAUUGCUUUAACAUACAGUAACUUGCCAUAAAAAUGUGAUCCGUGUUCCCUUCCAACUUUAAAAGGAGACUUUAUAAACUCUACAGCCUUUGAUUUGUUAAGGUAACUUUAUACUUAUUUUUUUAAUUCACAGGUUUGUGAGAAAAUAUAAUGGAACCCUUGAUGUUUUUAUGAUCUCGAUUAUCACUUCAUUGUAUAAGUAUUUGCUUAAUGAAACAUACAGUAAAACACUGUAAAACCUGCUGCAAUGUAUUCAAUAUCUUUUGGAAUUAAUAGAAAAAUUAC